rnacentral:rRNA from 1 species
UACGUAGGGUCCGAGCGUUGUCCGGAAUUACUGGGCGUAAAGAGCUCGUAGGCGGUGUGUCGCGUCGGCCGUGAAAACCUGUGGCUUAACUCCGGGCCUGCAGUGGGUACGGGCUGACUAGAGUGCGGUAGGGGAGACUGGAAUUCCGUGGUGUAGCGGUGAAAUGCGCAGAUAUCAGGAGGAACACCGGUGGCGAAGGCGGGUCUCUGGGCCGUAACUGACGCUGAGGAGUGAAAGCGUGGGGAGCGAACAGG